rnacentral:rRNA from 1 species
ACGGGAGGCAGCAGUGGGGAAUAUUGGACAAUGGGGGAAACCCUGAUCCAGCGACGCCGCGUGAGUGAAGAAGUAUUUCGGUAUGUAAAGCUCUAUCAGCAAGGAAGAAAAUGACGGUACUUGACUAAGAAGCUCCGGCUAAAUACGUGCCAGCAGCCGCGGUAAUACGUAUGGAGCAAGCGUUAUCCGGAAUUACUGGGUGUAAAGGGAGCGCAGGCGGGAAAUCAAGUUGGAUGUGAAAUGUCGGGGCUUAACCCCGGAACUGCAUCCAAAACUGAUUUUCUUGAGUGAAGUAGAGGUAGGCGGAAUUCCGAGUGUAGCGGUGAAAUGCGUAGAUAUUCGGAGGAACACCAGUGGCGAAGGCGGCCUACUGGGCUUUAACUGACGCUGAGGCUCGAAAGUGUGGGGAGCAAACAGGAUUAGAUACCCUGGUA